GCAGCCACUUGCAUAUACAAAUUAAAAAUAAAAUAAAUCAAGUAAAAAGAUUCAAACAAACAAACAAACGCCCCCAGAAAAAUUGUCGACACGUUAAUAAAUUAUUUGGUUUAUCUACACACAUAAUAGAAGGGCGGUGGCGAUCUUGAGGCACAGCGGGAAUGACCUAGAGGAGACACUACACAGAGAUUCUGAGUGAGUCUAAUGCCAUUUAAUUGGAACUAAAUGAUGUCUCAUGUCUGUGGGACAGGAAGCCUUUAGAUGUUACGUUUCGUUUAAUAAAAUAAUUAUUAAACAGUGAACAGAGAGUGCCCGAUGAUAUCAAAUAUAAUGUGUGUUCAAAUUCAAAUGCUUGACAGUUCUGUAAUUGAGACUCAAACGAUCUGCUACGCGCAUCCAUUAAAGAUAAUAAAAACA